UUGAGUCUAUUUAGUUCGUAUUUCUGCUUUCCUAAUCGUAAUUUAUUAUUGUACACUCAUUCAACUUGAGCGCAUAGAAAUUCACAGACACUCAAAUAUCUCACUUUCACCCAAAGUAUAAUUUCCCUUUAAAAGGAUCUCGGCACCAGACGUUUUUUUCUGACGUCAUGACGCACGAGCCUGAUUUCAACUUCUGUUGCUCAACUGACAACCGCCAUUUUUUCUCUCCGCACUCGGAUGAAAAAGAACUGAAAGCUUUUUUAAUAUUUGACGACUGAGGAGGACACUUUGCUAUAACGUUACAUGACUGAAAACAUUCAUGUGAAAAGAGAGUGUGUCCUGAAGGCCCUCAUCGUUUUCCUGGGGGAAAAUCCUCAAGAUCUUAUCAAGGAGUACCUUGAGAACCAGCAAGAUGAUUGCGAGGGAGAGCUGGAGCAGCUCACCAUGGCGGUGUAUGUUAUUCGGAAGGAGGGGGACAUCACGAACCACCGGCUGACAUAGGUGUCGUCAUCGAGGGUGUUAAAGUUCUGAAUGAGCUGCCUUCGUUCACAUCAGCUUGUGCCUUGCUUCUCAAGAUGAUAUACAUCAUCAAUCUGGCUUAUCCAAAACCACUUCGCUUUACAUUCGAGGUAUUCCAGAAAGUUCUCUUGCAGCUCGAUCAGCACAUGAUGUCACCAAAAGUUCAAAGUCUUUUCAGGAGACUACAGUGAACUUGCAGUAAUGUUUGAAUGUGCAUGUGUUUGAAAGAAUGUCUCUGUUUUAGUUGGAUGUUUCAUGUGUUCUUAUUGUAAGACUAUCGAUUUGUUCAGUCAUAUGUCUUUCCCUGGUUCCCUUUACAUUGGUGAAAGUAAUGGUAAUUACCUAUAACUCUUAAGCUGUCAAAAACAUUUUCCAUGAUCUGUUUGGUUGGUUUAUUUUUUUAUUUAUUUUUUUUAAAUAUAAAAUCAUUGCUCAGUUUAGGGCAUUACUUGUAAGCUGUUCUAAAGCACUUUUAAAUACACUUAUAUGGUUCUAUUUUAAGAAUAUAUUAAAGGGAUAGUUCACCCAAAAAUGGUUCAAGUUGUUCCAAACCUGCAUGAGUUUGUUUCUUCUGCUGAACACAAAAUAAGAUGUGUUGAAAAAUGU